ensembl:snoRNA U8 U8 small nucleolar RNA
ACGUCAGUGAGGUAUAUCCUUACCUGUUACCUUAGAAAUAAGGUUUCAGAACAUGAUGAUUGGAUUUGAUGAAUACGUGAUUACUUUCCGUGUUCGCUUAGGAAAUGCAACAUCCUAACGAAUCCUGUCUGAU